rnacentral:rRNA from 1 species
AAUAGAUACCCUGGUAGUCCACGCCGUAAACGAUGAGUGCUAAGUGUUAGAGGGUUUCCGCCCUUUAGUGCUGCAGCUAACGCAUUAAGCACUCCGCCUGGGGAGUACGGCCGCAAGGCUGAAACUCAAAGGAAUUGACGGGGGCCCGCACAAGCGGUGGAGCAUGUGGUUUAAUUCGAAGCAACGCGAAGAACCUUACCAGGUCUUGACAUCCUCUGACAACCCUAGAGAUAGGGCUUUCCCCUUCGGGGGACAGAGUGACAGGUGGUGCAUGGUUGUCGUCAGCUCGUGUCGUGAGAUGUUGGGUUAAGUCCCGCAACGAGCGCAACCCUUGAUCUUAGUUGCCAGCACUCAGUUGGGCACUCUAAGGUGACUGCCGGUGACAAACCGGAGGAAGGUGGGGAUGACGUCAAAUCAUCAUGCCCCUUAUGAACUGGGCUACACACGUGCUACAAUGGAUGGUACAAAGGGCUGCAAACCUGCGAAGGUAAGCGAAUCCCAUAAAGCCAUUCUCAGUUCGGAUUGCAGG